rnacentral:lncRNA from 1 species
CAAGCCUAGUGUCCUAGGAACCUUCAGUCUGACCAACUUGAGGCCAUCACUGGAGCCUUUGAUGUUGACAGUGCCAUCUCCCACUUUCCUCUCCUUUCAUGCUGGCAUUACUGUGGCUUUUGUCUGUAAGUAAGAAAAGUGAUUCUUGGGCAAAGCAAGCAUUCUUGCGGUGAAGAGAGAACUCUGUUAUCUGCUUCCUGGGGAUUUCCGUGGUCUGUGGGGUCACAUGGAAUGGCUAAUACAAAGCCUCUGGUCAUCCAUUGUUGACUUCUCGCACUUGAGCCAAACUUUUGCAAUGCUAUAUUAAAAGCAGUUAAAAUACAUCAAUGC